ACUUUAUUUUCCUGAAGCUGCUUAACUAAAAGCAAGCAAGGGCUGCUCUUUGGCAAAGAGAUGGGAUAAGGGGCCAAAGGAAAGGAGCAGGAGGUGGUGAGGUGGAAACUUAUGGUUUCUUUGGAAAGUCAGUUGUGUCAGAUGGUGUUUUGUUAAGGCAGACUCAUGAAGGAAAGUUUUUCUGAAGCAGACACAGGCGAAAGGAUGUUCUGCUAAAGUAAGCACAUGAAAGGACAUGUGAUGGAGGAGUCUUCAAUAAUGACGUGCGUGUAUUGGAUUGCUUUACAUUGUGUAGCUGAGCUCCAGCUGUCAGGAGUCCAUAGAGAGAAAUGUAUCAAAAAACUCUGCUGAUGUGCUGGCAGCUUCUUGCCACUUCCUCUGACUCAGGCUGAUUGGCAGAGUGAUGUCAGCUGAGACAGACUCACAUACUGAGGAAAGAUCUGAGGAGGACAUAUGAUGUUUGGAUGGCAUAUAAACAGGACUCAAUGAACUGUGAGAGAGGCUGGGGCUGGUAGAGCUAGCUGUGCAAUGGUUGUUGGUCUCUCGUCUUCGAUGAUCUUCGAUUUGUUGAGAGAGGCAUAGUCGAGAACUUCUUCUGGCAUUCCUGCAGGUCAGAAUCGAUCCUGUUGACUCGUGCCAAUUUGGCUAAGGCUGGCUUUUCCUGCUAGGUUGUGCCACCGCUGCUAUCACUACCACACUGAUAGUAUAUCUGUGAAGUGUUGAGCUGCCAAUGCUGACCCAUGAACUGCUGAUUUCCUGACAACACAGAGCUGGAUUUUCUCCAAAAAACAAUUUCUAAACAGGUCCACUUCUCCGUAUCCUUUCUUUCCCACUACCUCUGGGCUAGAAGGGAGGUUAAAAUGUUUAAGAACCAUUAUUAAAAGUAGGCAUUGAAGAAAAUUAAAGUUUGGGGAGGCAGGCAGAAGUUGUUAAUGGACUCUGGUUCUUAUGACAUGCUCUCACAUUCUAGGGAUGGGGACAUGGGUAUCUUGGGGGGGGGUCAUUAUAACUACACUGUGAGGCAUUUUGGUGAGAUAACAAACCUGGGAAGGGACCAGGAGCAUCGAGUUUGGUCUGGACCCUCUGUUGUCUCAUGGUGGCACCAUGGGCCACCUCUUGCCUCUCAGCGAAGAUACAGCAAAGAACCCAGCACUCAGCAAGCCUAGGCUGGGACUUCCAGGCAGCUACUCCCUGUCUGUGGAUGUCCAUGUCUCCCUGCCCCCAGAGGAACAGAAGCCUGCCUUCUGAGGCCUUCCCCUACAUUUUCUGCCUUUCCAUUGUAGUGCCUGAAUCGAUGUACCUUCCAGAUCCACCUGCUUCUGCCUCCUGAGUGCUGGGAUUAAAGGAGUUCGCUGCUACCAUCACCCAGCAGGAGUUAUUAUUAUUAUUAUUUUUUGCCCUUGUGAGCACCUCAUAUCCCAUCCCCUCCUCUAGAUAUCCUUUCACUGAUAUGACCAUUUAUUUCAUCCAGUUUUCCAUACUGCAUAGUAUUUGUGGUAUAUGUUUCAUCUGAUAAAGGUUCAUUUCACACCUAUAUUAUGUUAGGUGCUGUGACAGACAGUGGGGACAAACAUACCACGUAGAAAAUAAACCCCCCAAACUAAGAGCUCUGACCUCUGAAGCUAGUAUUAACAAAAGAGACAGAUAAUCAAAACUUUCAGCCUAAAACACAGCUCUCACCUCAAAGGGAGGGAGAAUAAGCAUCGGUUUCUUCUGAGCCAGGUAUGAAUGACUGUAGCCCUGGGACACACAUGGACUCAGGUUGCUCCGAAUAACAUGCUUCAGUGUGGAAACAAAUAGACUAGCUUUCAUCGUCACAGAACAAAGGCAUGAUAGGGAAGACCCAUCUGCUGGUCUUUAGGGUACUCUGGGUGCCUGCUCUCCUUAGACUAGAGUUAGCUGAGGACCAAGUGUGUUUCCUGCUGUAGAGAGUUCAUGGCGGCUGCUGGGAGGAGAGCCAGCACACAGGAAAGACACAGGAAAGAGGCAACAUUCUGAUCAGGAGGACAGAAGAGCAAGGUCGUCCUCGCCUCUUGGGGGUGUCUGGGGAGCAAACCCAGCCGCUUUCCCUGCCCUCCUGGCCCAGAGAAGGAACUCAGAAGUGUCGCUUCCCUUAUUAAUCUAGCUGUAAGCAUUUUUUUACAGCAGCUGUCCUCACAUCCCCGGGCCCCGGAGGAAUAAGACACAGCGCCUUGGAAUAUCAUUAAAAUGCUGUCCAGAAAAAGGCACUGCUGAGCCUGGUGGGCAAGAUGCUAAGAACUGCAGGACCGAAAGUAAGGACAGGAGUGCUGGGCAGAUGAUCUGGUUCCCUCUGGCUCUGCACCAGAGCAAAUGCAGAUGAGGUUCAAACACUGGUGGGAAAAAAAAAACCACAAAAAUAAAAAACCAGCCUCCAUGGCCUCCAGGAGCGCAAGCUAGCCUCCUAUUCGAUAUGUAGCUGAG
rnacentral:lncRNA from 1 species